UACGAAGGCCCCGAGCGUUAUCCGGAAUUAUUGGGCGUAAAGGGUGCGUAGGAGGUCUCGCACGUCUCUUGUUAAAUUUCGCCGCUCAACGGCGAGACCGCAGGGGAUACGACGAGACUAGAGGACGCGAGAGGUUUGCGGAACGUACGGUGUAGGGGUGAAAUCCGUUGAUAUCGUACGGAACACCAAAGGCGAAGGCAGCAAACUGGCGCGUUUCUGACUCUGAUGCACGAAAGCGUGGGGAGCAAAAAGG
rnacentral:misc_RNA from 1 species